rnacentral:lncRNA from 1 species
AUGAAGUUGUAUGAGAUGUGGCUGCAUCAUACAGAUUGCUUGGGUGCUAGUUUACAUCCAGGAUCAGCAGUUUGCAGAGCGUACCUCGAAUCCCAUCAGGGGCCAGAGCUGCCCACAGCCUAUGAGAAAUAUUGCCUUACAAACUCCUUCACCCGGCCGGUCCAAAGAAGUGCAAGCGGUGACUGGGAAAGGUAUAGCAGCCCUGGGAUGGGUUGUGUUCAGUCAGGCUGUAAAAAGGCACCGGGUUCUGAGAGAGGCUUCAGUCCACGGGGAGAGAUUGUGAGGUGUGAGGUUGCUGGCUUUGUGCAGGUUAUUACACUUCCAUUGCUGAUUUCUAAACGGAGUCCUGUUGCUGAGAGAGACCAGGUUUGUCUUUUACUAAAAACUUAGGGGUGGGUUUCUUCUGUUCCAAGGUAUGUAUGUAACUUUAGAUGGCCAUCUCUGUGCCUCAUCACCUCUGAGAUUUUUUCCACUGACAUUCACCUCGAGAAGCUACAAAGAGGUAAAACCUACAGUGGCUUGCCGUGUUUUUGCUAUAGUGGCUUGCUUUGAUAUAAAUCCUCAGGGUAAAAAAACACCUUUUGCAGCAAAAGCAAAGGCUGAGGGAUCUUUCAUGAAACAGGCUUAGUUCCUCUGGAGGACUGACAUCCCCAUUUUUAAGGCCUAAUUGCAUGAAGUCUCCUGUGAUAAUUUCUUAGACAGCAAGGGAAAGCUGUUGGAGCCAGCCUCCAGCAUCGAGAGGCUCGAGCCCAGCAGGUCGGUGUGGUGGCUUGAUAGGGCAACAAAGAGAUCCAAAGAACUGAGCAACAGCCGUCCUGUCCUAUGUGCUGAGAGCUUUUAUUUUCCAUCCAUUACUAACACAAAUUCCUCGGGUUGAUCAAUAUUAGAAUGGCUCACUGAAAGGCACGUUUGCUUUGUGACUCGCCUCUAUUUUUUAUAUCGUUCUCAUGAUGAAGGAAUGCUCUGUAGUAUCGAGUUAUCACUGCUUGAGAGAGGAGGCAGUGCUCAUAAAAAGGCAUUGGUCUGACACUGGGCUGAUGUUGUCCAACAUUCUGGAUUCUGGGCUCAACCAAGGCUGGACUUCCUACCUUCACGUUGGAGCUGCUGACGUACGCUUUUCUUCUCAGCUUUGUCCCCCAUAUAAUGUCACAGCCCCCUGGUUCCACUUGUUGCCACAUGAGGUUCUUGUUUCCCAAGAUGACAGCCAUCAAAGGAUGGCUGGGCAGCUGCUCAGAUCUCCCUGCCAUUGGGAGCUAGAGCCUUGUGUGCAUUAAAGCUUUCCUGCUCCUCAGUAGUUCAGAUGGCUUUGUGUCUGUCAGAGCAGGUAAAAUUUCCCAGGUUCUCCAUCUUCUAACCCUUUUUUUAAAGCUACUUCAGUUGGAUUUGACAG